rnacentral:lncRNA from 1 species
GUGCUCUCAGAAUAAACACGAGACUCUGUUACUGCCAAGGCGACUGGUCGGUGCACAGCUUCUCUAUGGACUAUCUGCCUUCACUCGCUCAGCUUCGCACCCAUCCUGUUUGAAAUGCAUGUGUUUGCCUAAGGGAGCCAUGUCCUUGCCUGGCUGUCUUCUCUAGGAGCUCAAUUCAGCUAUGCCUUCUCCAGGAAGUCUGGCACCUUCACCAACUGAUGCAAGUCUUUCAGAACCACCCACUUCUCUUGUGGCCUUGUGCACAGUUUGCUUUACUUCCCCCUGGUGAGCACAUGCGGAGUGUUUUCUCUCCCUUUUCCACUAAGAGUCUCCCGCCCCCUGCCCCAAACCAGGUAUUGUCUGUUUCUUGCUGACUGUUGUCUCCGCCAUUGCCUUGCUAGCACUGCCACAGAGUAGGUAUGGACAGGAGUGUCACUGAAUGGACAGGAGGUGAAGAAUAACAGGCCAGAGGAUCUGACAUCAAAAGGCAGGAUAGGGAUUAAAAUAAGAGGUAGAGUGGAGAUGGAUUCGAAGAAGUCCUCUACUCGAGGAGCUACUGAUACGGGAAGAGGAAAGCAGGUUUCUUUGCUGUGCUUCCUUCCAACCACCCUUUUUAUUUAUUCUUG